AAACCCUACCCCCACCUAAACCCACCUCAAAACGCCCCAAAAUUUCAAAACCUAAAACCACCACCACCCAUGGGCCAUGGCGAAUCGACGGUGCCUCCAACUCCUGACCCGCCGCAUCUCAGCCCUAUUCUCAGCCAACCCUCCCAACUCGUUUUCACCCCCCCAUUGGACUGAAACGACGACGUAAAUGAGGACAGUCAAGACGACGACGACGACGAAAUUGGGUACAGUAGUGACGACGGGAGUUUAUCCAAGGGUGGUGGGUCGAAAAGAGAGUACACGGCGGAGGAGAUGGCGGCGGAGGCGGCGGGUAUUGGGGUACAAAGUGGUUGGGCCGCUUGAGAAGACUGAUGAUGGGGUUUUCAAGCCCUAUGAACCCGUUUUCGCUGUCAUUCAGAUUGGUUCGCAUCAGUUCAAAGUUAGUAAUGCGGACUCCAUUUUCACUGAAAGAUUGAAAUUUUGCGAGGUCAAGUGCAUUUAUCAUUGUGUGUUUUAGCUGCUACGAGAUCAUUGAUUGUUAUAUGGGUAAAUUUUGUGCAUUUGCCGAAAGAAAUGAAUGUUCAGUGGAUGAGGUUUGCAGAAAUCGAAUUAGAAUAUGCAUUUGAGGUCUUGUAGCUUACAAUGUAUCUGUGUUGGGUUCAGAGGAAGUGUGAAGGUUGGCUUUCUAGCUACAGCUGUUUGUUAUUGAUUGGUGCCGUGUCAGAGUAUAUGGUAUUGCAUCUGUAUCAGUGUAAUGCUGGUACCGUUUAGUCAAGAUUGGAAUUAGUGUAUGUGGUUGUUCAGUUUACAGUCAGAUUAGAUCUUCUCUUGUUCUGUUCUACUUUUCUGGAAAGCAAAGAAAGUAUGUUUAUCUUUAUAGUCUGAAGCUUAAGUGUUCUGCUCUGUUUGUAUUAAUGAUGGUUCGUUUGCCUUCCAAUGGUCCACUACUGCACUUGGAGGUGUGGACUUACAUCAAACAAGUUACUUUUAGAGUGUUAAUUAACUUAAUUUAGACUAGUGCUCUUAUACAUUGCCUUAAUAUAAGCUCCGAUUCAUUUCAUUUAUUCAUUUGUUUUUGCCAUGUAUCUCACAUUCAUAUGGCAUUCUCAAAACUAGUUGGUCGGAGAGAAUUUGUGAUUUUCAACGUUGUGAGAUCUUGCUUAGGCUUAAAAUUAGCUCACUAUUUGGAAGCUAUAGGAUAUUUAUUUUUGCAUAUUGAUCUAUAAAAUUUAUGUAGAAGGAGAGACUGGAAGAUGAUGGGUUUAGAGUACGAUAUGCAUGAAAGUAAUUCAUGGAUUUAUAAUUGGUGAAUAAAGUGAAGAUUGUAAGCCAAACUAGUGAACUUACAUUUGGUGUUUCAGGCUUUUUUUUGUUAUAGCUAAUAUGAUGUCUGUUUAGCUAAAUGAAUAAACAAACCCAUUAUUUUGUUUUGGGGAGUUUGACUAGACAAUGUUGCCAUUGGUGUCAGAUUAUUUGAGAUCUAAUAUUUGCAUUGAAGUUUGCUGGUAGAAGAUCUCGUUUACUUGCAUGGGAAUAGUUAAGCUUUUGCACUUUAAACUUUACAUGGGAGCUUAGUUUUGAUGCUUGGUUUGCUUGUCUAUUGCAAUUGAUAUUGAAUAAGGUUCUCUUGGUGGGCACAAGUAGUCAGACAAUGAUCGGCAGGCCAAUAGUUCCUGAUGAACCAUGCAGUUGUUGAAGAGCAUGCAUUGGAUGCAAAGGUACUUAUUUUUAAGAAAAAGAGGAGGAAGAAUUACCGUCGGACCAAAGGUCAUCGCCAAGAAUUAACCAAGUUGAGGAUUAUUGAUAUUCAAGGGAUUCAGAAAUCAGAACCUGUAGUCACCAAAAAACCUUCAAAGGCACCUGGUAAGAAGCCAGAAAAGGUUGCAGUUGCUGCAUAGGAGGAAUAUUCUGUACGGUUGUUUAUUGGUAAUAAUGGCACUCUGAUCAUGGUGUUGUGCCUAACGGUGAGCAUGAUAAGAUUCCUGAAUUGCUCCAGGUACAUCUUGGGAUGUCAUAUGAAAUAGAAAGCUUACGAUGGAACCGGAUAGAUGUAGGAUUGGUGACAUAGAUUUUGCCCAUUUGUAUUUUCUGUAUUUUGUAGUGCAAGUUAUGAAACCUUGAGCUGAAUGAAUCGGUUUUGUUCCCUAAUAGAUAAUUUCAUUGCCCGGAUUUUCAAAAAAAAAAAAAAAAAAACACCAUUGCCCUGAUUUAAAAAAAAAAACAAUUCAUUGUCCUGAGGAAUCUUUUUGCUUUGCGUUUGAUGCUUAAGUUUUGUCGAAGUCAAUUUAAUAUCAUGCAAGCAUUGUAACAUGAGUGAAAUUAUUGCGUCUCCAAUCGAUUUGCAGAUUCAAGUUGCAUCUAUUUAUCAUAUCUAAUAGAUCACACAAAUAUAUUGUGCCGGAUCAGGCUCUUUCUUUGCUAUCAGUUAAUGUCUUAUACAUGACCCAUUGAAUUCAUCUUUCGCCUUCAAUUUGUAUGUGAAACAUUGGGAAACCCAUUUGGGUGGGGAAGGCAUGAACCUUAUGUCACCACGAAGAAAGUAGUCAAGAAACUCUCUUUACAACCGUCUGAUGAGUUAGGAAGCUAGGAAUGAGAAUGAACAGGAGUGUCAACGGGCUUGAGUGCAGCGCCAAAUCGUUGAAUUAACGUUUGGAACUUUGAAAGUGGUUUAUAAACCCGUAAGCUAUGGACGAAUUUGUUAGACAAUGACUGACCCUCAGAAACUUAAAUUGUCGAGGGGCAUUGACGAUCAAGGCAAUUGAAAGCUUAAGCUGUCGAGAGGAGACAGAGAUCCGAAUACUUCAUGCAAUCUUGGAGCUCCAAGACACCAUAUUAGAUUUUAUCACAAGAGGAAAAUUGGAGGAUACGAAAACUUCAUCCAAUGAUCUUUUGUUCUAGGAUACCACGUUAGACUAUCAUAAAUGAGGAAUUAGAGGAUACGAAGUCUUCAUCCAACAAGAUACUAUGUUAUUCAAUUAUUAUGUUUCAUGCUGAAUGAACUAAGACGAGCAUAUUGAAAUUAACAAGCUCCUCUUAGACGUGAAACCCAACUAAGAAAGCAUUUAAGCUAGUCUGUAUCUUUGGACGAGGACUGAGCAAUCUUUUGAUUCUUAUCAUUACCUAUUAAGGAUGCAGUCUCAUCCAUUCCCCACAUUAAUUCAUUAUGCAAAUAAUGGGGUAAAUGGACUGUGCAAACUAUCUGUCUCGCUCGAUGACCCAAGACUUGAUUAGGAUGAAACUUUUUCCUUUCGGCCAUAACUUCAUUCGCUCUUGAUUAGGCUUGCUCUGCGUGUUUGCUCUGGAGAAGGACACAUCUUCAUUCUUUUGGUAUAUGGGUUGUUCGCUCGACAGUCGACACAGAGAGAGAGAGAGAGUGAAUAGAACUGAUUAGAUCUUUCCAAUCAUCGUCUGCUCUUUGCAUCGGACUUCUAUUCGAUCUUUAGCAUCAGCUGUUCUUUUCUUUUAAUCUUGGUUACUGGAUUGGUUUUGGGUAGACGGAGAAGUUGGGGGCCAGCAACAGUAAGUCCAAUCUUCAGUUGCUUCUGAGAUCAACAUCGGAGCAAACCCAGACUCGAUUACGGAAUCCCCAUCUCCUUCUUUCCAAUUCUUUCUGUCCUCGAUCAUAUUUUCAUUUUUUAUUUAUUUAUUUUGCUGCAUCAUGAAUCAUGAUUAUAUAUGCUUGGCUUCUUCAAAUUUGCAAUAUUGGACUCCUUCUUUCCAAUCACUAUGUUAAUCUCAUAACUCGGGCUCUGAUUUGUCCAAAUUUGCUUUACCAAGUUAUAGUAAUGAAAAACAAACUUUUAGAAAAGAGACUAAUUGUUGGGGUUCUGCAGAGACCAACCAAAUAUUCUUUAGCGUUUUCCUUUUAGUCAAUAUUGGACAUUUUCUAGCAUGUAGGUUAGUUGGUUUACAAUUUUCCUGGAAUGCUUCAGGUUAAAAAAGACCCACUUCAGAUUGUUAAGGAUUCUGCCGCAUUGAAUGUGUUUAGAGAAGUGAAGGUGUCUGAUAAGAAAAAGAUUAUUGUAUCAGACCUGGAAAUCUAGGGCUACCAAAAGGGAGUAAGAAGUAAGAAAUGCAGACACAAACUAAACUCAUGAAGAGGAACAACUCCAUGAUUGGGUUAUACAGAAACUUUAGACAAAGACAAUGAAAAUGUUGUCCCAGAUGGAUGAUUGUGGCCUCUAUGCAAUUAUACCAAAGAUGAGUUCACUGGGAUAGAGGUUCGGGGCGGUUGAUUGGGCCGAUUGGGGAAAACGGUGGAGCUGCACACGCCAAAAAUGUACGGGUGAAGGAUUUUGGUUUGUGCUGCUGCUGCUUUGUUUGAAUUGGGUUGUUUCAGUGCUUCAAAUUACAAAUGCAUAGAAGGUUAGCAAAGACACUACAAACUCGCAUCAAGUGCAUGCCAAGCAAGAUUGAAAACUGAAGGACCGUCUUUAGAAUAGUGUCAAUAGAAGAACAAUGAAGCCAUGAAGAUAUUUUUUGCUUCCUACAUGGCAAUGCUUUGUGGUAAAAUCACAACAACUUUUUUUUUUUGAUAAGACAAUGGUUUAUAUGAAGCAAUGAAGACCAUUUUUGCUCCCACAUAAUGGUUUGUACCAAGGCUACAUGCAAAAAUGCAACUCCUAAAACUAGAUUCAUACAAUGUAAACUAGCUUUUAAACAAUUUUGUUUAUUACACAGGUUUGUCGUUUCAUA